rnacentral:rRNA from 1 species
GUACCAAUUUUAUUAUAUAUUCAUUUUUUAUGAUUAAUUAUAAAAUUACAUUUAAGUCCUACUUUGGCCAAUUUUUAAGGAUGGCUUCCGCUUUUGCUAUAGUAACUCGCCUAAACUUUAUAAUAGUCUGCACCUUGAUCUGUUCUACUAGUUAUUAACUAAUGAGAUAGUAUAUUAUAUAUUAUCUGAUGACGACGGCAUACAAAAUAUCACAUAAAGUAGAUUACCUUGGUGGUUAUCAAUUACUUGGUAAGUUCCCCUAAAUUUUAAAAUUACCGCCAUGCUAUUUGAGUUUUAACCUUAAGAGGUCUUAGUGCUCAGUGUGGUAUUAUAAGUAUUGUAUAAAAGGGUAUCUAAUCCUUGUUUAUGAUCAAUAUUAGGUUAUUGUAAGUAGAUUAUAAAAGUUAAUAAAUAUCAUUUCACCAAUAUAGGUGCUAUAAGCUUAUUACACUGUGGGAGUUUACCACUAUAAAAGUCUGACCGCGACUGCUGGCACUUUUUUGAUCAUAGUGGGAUAAAGUGGUUUAAUCUAACUUUCGUAAAUUUUAAAUUUUCUUGCCUGGUUAUUUCUAUUAAUACCAUAAGUAUCCGGUUUAAUGUAAACAUUGAACCAU